rnacentral:rRNA from 1 species
GAAUGAAUCUUAUCGGGGGAAGGUGUAUAUUAAAGGAUGGUCCGCCUAUUAGUUUACUUUCAUUAUGUUGGUGUAUAUCUAGUUAAAUAUUAUUGUUUAGUAACUUAAUUUGUGUAGGGUGAUUAGUUAAGCUAAGUCUAUGUGCUGCGUAUGGGAGUUUUUAUGCGUUACAUUUAUAAUAAAUUUGUUGGGAGACAAAUUGAUUAAGGACUCGAAAGUAAUGUAAAAUUA